rnacentral:rRNA from 1 species
GGGUUGUGAGGUUAAGCGACUAAGCGUACACGGUGGAUGCCCUGGCAGUCAGAGGCGAUGAAGGGCGUGCUAAUCUGCGAUAAGCGCCGGUAAGGUGAUAUGAACCGUUAUAACCGGCGAUACCCGAAUGGGGAAACCCAGUGUGAUUCGUCACACUAUCAUUAACUGAAUCCAUAGGUUAAUGAGGCGAACCGGGGGAACUGAAACAUCUAAGUACCCCGAGGAAAAGAAAUCAACCGAGAUUCCCCCAGUAGCGGCGAGCGAACGGGGAGGAGCCCAGAGCCUGAAUCAGCAUGUGUGUUAGUGGAAGCGUCUGGAAAGGCGCGCGAUACAGGGUGACAGCCCCGUACACAAAAGCUCACAUGCUGUGAGCUCGAUGAGUAGGGCGGGACACGUGGUAUCCUGUCUGAAUAUGGGGGGACCAUCCUCCAAGGCUAAAUACUCCUGACUGACCGAUAGUGAACCAGUACCGUGAGGGAAAGGCGAAAAGAACCCCGGCGAGGGGAGUGAAAAAGAACCUGAAACCGUGUACGUACAAGCAGUGGGAGCACCCUUUGGGGUGUGACUGCGUACCUUUUGUAUAAUGGGUCAGCGACUUAUAUUCUGUAGCAAGGUUAACCGCAUAGGGGAGCCGUAGGGAAACCGAGUCUUAACCGGGCGUUAAGUUGCAGGGUAUAGACCCGAAACCCGGUGAUCUAGCCAUGGGCAGGUUGAAGGUUGGGUAACACUAACUGGAGGACCGAACCGACUAAUGUUGAAAAAUUAGCGGAUGACCUGUGGCUGGGGGUGAAAGGCCAAUCAAACCGGGAGAUAGCUGGUUCUCCCCGAAAGCUAUUUAGGUAGCGCCUCGUGAAUUCAUCUCCGGGGGUAGAGCACUGUUUCGGCUAGGGGGCCAUCCCGGCUUACCAACCCGAUGCAAACUGCGAAUACCGGAGAAUGUUAUCACGGGAGACACACGGCGGGUGCUAACGUCCGUCGUGAAGAGGGAAACAACCCAGACCGCCAGCUAAGGUCCCAAAGUCAUGGUUAAGUGGGAAACGAUGUGGGAAGGCCCAGACAGCCAGGAUGUUGGCUUAGAAGCAGCCAUCAUUUAAAGAAAGCGUAAUAGCUCACUGGUCGAGUCGGCCUGCGCGGAAGAUGUAACGGGGCUAAACCAUGCACCGAAGCUGCGGCAGCGACACUGUGUGUUGUUGGGUAGGGGAGCGUUCUGUAAGCCUGUGAAGGUGGCCUGUGAGGGUUGCUGGAGGUAUCAGAAGUGCGAAUGCUGACAUAAGUAACGAUAAAGCGGGUGAAAAGCCCGCUCGCCGGAAGACCAAGGGUUCCUGUCCAACGUUAAUCGGGGCAGGGUGAGUCGACCCCUAAGGCGAGGCCGAAAGGCGUAGUCGAUGGGAAACGGGUUAAUAUUCCCGUACUUGGUGUUACUGCGAAGGGGGGACGGAGAAGGCUAUGUUGGCCGGGCGACGGUUGUCCCGGUUUAAGCGUGUAGGUGUGUGUUCCAGGUAAAUCCGGUUCACUUUAACACUGAGGCGUGACGACGAGGCACUACGGUGCUGAAGCAACAAAUGCCCUGCUUCCAGGAAAAGCCUCUAAGCAUCAGGUAACAUCAAAUCGUACCCCAAACCGACACAGGUGGUCAGGUAGAGAAUACCAAGGCGCUUGAGAGAACUCGGGUGAAGGAACUAGGCAAAAUGGUGCCGUAACUUCGGGAGAAGGCACGCUGACACGUAGGUGAAGUGAUUUACUCAUGGAGCUGAAGUCAGUCGAAGAUACCAGCUGGCUGCAACUGUUUAUUAAAAACACAGCACUGUGCAAACACGAAAGUGGACGUAUACGGUGUGACGCCUGCCCGGUGCCGGAAGGUUAAUUGAUGGGGUCAGCGCAAGCGAAGCUCCUGAUCGAAGCCCCGGUAAACGGCGGCCGUAACUAUAACGGUCCUAAGGUAGCGAAAUUCCUUGUCGGGUAAGUUCCGACCUGCACGAAUGGCGUAAUGAUGGCCAGGCUGUCUCCACCCGAGACUCAGUGAAAUUGAACUCGCUGUGAAGAUGCAGUGUACCCGCGGCAAGACGGAAAGACCCCGUGAACCUUUACUAUAGCUUGACACUGAACAUUGAGCCUUGAUGUGUAGGAUAGGUGGGAGGCUUUGAAGCGUGGACGCCAGUCUGCGUGGAGCCAACCUUGAAAUACCACCCUUUAAUGUUUGAUGUUCUAACGUGGACCCGUAAUCCGGGUUGCGGACAGUGUCUGGUGGGUAGUUUGACUGGGGCGGUCUCCUCCUAAAGAGUAACGGAGGAGCACGAAGGUUGGCUAAUCCUGGUCGGACAUCAGGAGGUUAGUGCAAUGGCAUAAGCCAGCUUGACUGCGAGCGUGACGGCGCGAGCAGGUGCGAAAGCAGGUCAUAGUGAUCCGGUGGUUCUGAAUGGAAGGGCCAUCGCUCAACGGAUAAAAGGUACUCCGGGGAUAACAGGCUGAUACCGCCCAAGAGUUCAUAUCGACGGCGGUGUUUGGCACCUCGAUGUCGGCUCAUCACAUCCUGGGGCUGAAGUAGGUCCCAAGGGUAUGGCUGUUCGCCAUUUAAAGUGGUACGCGAGCUGGGUUUAGAACGUCGUGAGACAGUUCGGUCCCUAUCUGCCGUGGGCGCUGGAGAACUGAGGGGGGCUGCUCCUAGUACGAGAGGACCGGAGUGGACGCAUCACUGGUGUUCGGGUUGUCAUGCCAAUGGCACUGCCCGGUAGCUAAAUGCGGAAGAGAUAAGUGCUGAAAGCAUCUAAGCACGAAACUUGCCCCGAGAUGAGUUCUCCCUGAGACUUAGAGUCUCCUGAAGGAACGUUGAAGACGACGACGUUGAUAGGCCGGGUGUGUAAGCGCAGCGAUGCGUUGAGCUAACCGGUACUAAUGAACCGUGAGGCUUAACCUUACAACGCCGAAG